CGGCGCGGCUAUCAUGCAGUCGAGCGCGGGAGCUCUUCUGAUCCCUUCGGGGUGAAUAGAGUGGAACGAGCGGCGGACGGGUGAGUAACACGUGGGCAACCUACCUAUAAGACUGGGAUAACUCGCGGAAACGUGAGCUAAUACCGGAUAAUACUUUUUAUUGCAUAAUAAGAAGUUUGAAAGACGGCGUAAGCUGUCACUUAUAGAUGGGCCCGCGGCGCAUUAGCUAGUUGGUGAGGUAAAGGCUCACCAAGGCAACGAUGCGUAGCCGACCUGAGAGGGUGAUCGGCCACACUGGGACUGAGACACGGCCCAGACUCCUACGGGAGGCAGCAGUAGGGAAUCUUCCGCAAUGGACGAAAGUCUGACGGAGCAACGCCGCGUGAGUGAAGAAGGUUUUCGGAUCGUAAAACUCUGUUGUUAGGGAAGAACAAGUCAGGUAGUAACUGACCUGACCUUGACGGUACCUAACCAGAAAGCCACGGCUAACUACGUGCCAGCAGCCGCGGUAAUACGUAGGUGGCAAGCGUUGUCCGGAUUUAUUGGGCGUAAAGCGCUCGCAGGCGGUCUUUUAAGUCUGAUGUGAAAGCCCACGGCUUAACCGUGGAGGGUCAUUGGAAACUGGAGGACUUGAGUGCAGAAGAGGAGAGUGGAAUUCCAUGUGUAGCGGUGAAAUGCGUAGAGAUAUGGAGGAACACCAGUGGCGAAGGCGACUCUCUGGUCUGUAACUGACGCUGAGGAGCGAAAGCGUGGGUAGCGAACAGGAUUAGAUACCCUGGUAGUCCACGCCGUAAACGAUGAGUGCUAGGUGUUAGGGGUUUCCGCCCCUUAGU
rnacentral:rRNA from 1 species